rnacentral:misc_RNA from 1 species
CAUUCAAAAGCACGAUGCGACGCGGCUGCACUACGACUUGCGGCUGGAGUUUGGCGGCGUGUUCAGGUCAUGGGCGGGAACCCGGGGCCCGUCCCUCGACCCGAAAGACCGUCGAAGUGGAAGAUCAUCCGCUCGACUAUGGCGAUUUCGAAGGCACCAUUCCCAAGGGGCAGUAUGGCGGCGGCACCGUAAUGAUUUGGGAUCGCGGCUACUGGCUGUCGGACGAUCCCGAG